rnacentral:rRNA from 1 species
UACGUAGGGGGCAAGCGUUGUCCGGAAUUAUUGGGCGUAAAGCGCGUGUAGGCGGUUCGGUAAGUCUGCUGUGAAAGUCCAGGGCUCAACCCUGGAAUGCCGGUGGAUACUGUCGAGCUAGAGUCCGGAAGAGGCGAGUGGAAUUCCUGGUGUAGCGGUGAAAUGCGCAGAUAUCAGGAGGAACACCAAUGGCGAAGGCAGCUCGCUGGGACGGUACUGACGCUGAGACGCGAAAGCGUGGGGAGCAAACAGG